rnacentral:rRNA from 1 species
UCCGUAGCCGGUUUGAUCAGUUCUUCGGGAAAUCUGACAGCUCAACUGUUAGGCUUCCGGGGAAUACUGUCAGACUUGGGACCGGGAGAGGUAAGAGGUACUACAGGGGUAGGAGUGAAAUCUUGUAAUCCCUGUGGGACCACCAGUGGCGAAGGCGUCUUACCAGAACGGGUCCGACGGUGAGGGACGAAAGCUGGGGGCACGAACAGGAUUAGAUACCCUGGUAGUCC